GGAAUGAGGAUGGCUGUUCCCUCUGUGAUAUUGCAAACAUCCCAGCUGCGAGGGAGGAGGUUGUGCUGAAACAGGGCCUUGGCCAGGUGUGAAACAGCAAGGAUUGUGCCCAAGGAUUUUCCUGUAGAUAUUGUGAGCGAACAUGGAGCCAGUGGAGAGAAGAGCUGAAUCUGCAGAAGACAUCGCAGCAGCAGCGAUGGCUCCCAAACCGGUAAUGGAGAUAUAUGCUGGGCAGAGAUGUUGUAAAACGAGUGGUAGGAUCAUUGCUGACUCCCCUCUCUCAAAUGGACUUGGAAGACCAUAGCUUGUCUGAUUCCAGUCUUUAAAACAAAACAAGGGAAAGUCACAACAAAUCCUUCAUGACCAUUUUUGCUGGCUUUGAAAUUGCCUUUUCACAGGGGCCACAGAAGGACUAAGAACUGAGAUCCACUCAGUAUUUUAGGACGUAGAUUGAUUUUUUUUUAUUAUUUUGUGAACUUUAGUGAUUCCCCUUAGCAUGCUGCAGCUCCCACUAGAUCAAAAUUUUCCCUUUUCCUCAGCAGCAUCUUUUGAAAUAGGUGUGUCCUGUGUGAUUCCAGAUUUGGCUCAAUUGAAAGUCAGCCUCUAGACACUGCUCAUGAGGAGAAGGGAAUUGGAUGAAGUAAUGACUUCAGCUGAUUUCCUUAAAUGUUCAGUGAUCGGGCUGUCCUUUUACCCUUGCUCACAGCCAACACAGGACUGAUUCCCUGCAUGGAGACUGUGAGUUUGCAGGACUGAACUUCUUGAUUACUUUAAGAAAGAUCCUUAUUAACAAUCUUUGGUAAUAUUGUUGUGUCUUACAUGUCUAAGGCAUAAAAUUUCUUCUAAAUUAGGAUGACACAAGAGAGUCUGCCUUCAUCUUUCCUCAACACAAAGUCUGGGAAAAGUAAUUUUUUUUAAGAAAAUAGCUUUAAACAGGUCUUGGGGCUGUUUAAAUGUCUGUAAGUAGUUGUGCAAUGUAGCUCAGAGGGCUCCACAUUUUCUGGACAGAUUACCUAUCUUGGUAUCAAGGACCAUGGGACGGGGUAAUUUGAAGUCUCUAUCAGGACUUCUUUGGAUCCCGUUUUAAUCACCUUUGCCAAAACCACAUUGAUUACUCAGAGACAAAUGAUUCAAUUUACCUGUUGAUGCUGCGACUGCCCCAAUGAGCACUGAGGGGAUGGCCAUUGCAAAGCACCCGAGUCCAGAGAGGUAGGAGAUGAGCCUUGCCUGUCCUGUCGAGGCAGCAGAGAGCACCCUUUGGAAGUAAGUCUGCCAUGGGAUGCUCCCAAGCACCUGAAACAUUCAUCAGUUACCAGUGGUACCCACCAGGCUGCUGUAGGGUGUCAUCCAUAAUAAAUUCUAGUUUCAAAUAAUCAGAUUCUCAUUUCAAGUGCAUAAAUGUUGCCCAGCUCUAACUCUUGAGGAUAAUAUUUCUGAUGGUUGAGAAUUCCCUGUUUCCUUUGUUUUCAUCUAUUUCACAUUGGACGUGAAAUUUUAAUAAAAACAAGUGAAUGGUUUGGCAGAUGGAGAAAGCUGAAAAAUGGUUGUUUGGAAUUGUGAAUCAGGCACAGAGGAAGUGAAAGGGAAGUUUUUCAGAAAUGCAGAUUUUGUAAAUAAAUAUACCCAAACUUAGCAAUCCAGCUUUUAAAAUGAAAAAUAAAGCCAUAAUUUUCACUUUCUUAGUACACAAAAUUAAUCAAAUAAAAUCUGAAGAUUCUGUCCUCACCAAACA